rnacentral:rRNA from 1 species
GGGCUAGCAAUAGUCAGUGGCGCACGGGUGCGUAACACGUGGGUAAUCAACCCUUCAGCUCGGGAUAACGUCUUGAAAGGGACGCUAAUACCGGAUACGGCGCGAGAGGCUUCGGCUUUUUGCGAGAAAGAUUCGCAAGGAUUACUGAAGGACGAGCCUGCGGCCCAUCAGCUAGUUGGUGAGGUAAGAGCUCACCAAGGCUAAGACGGGUAGCUGGUCUGAGAGGAUGAUCAGCCACACUGGAACUGAGACACGGUCCAGACUCCUACGGGAGGCAGCAGUGGGGAAUAUUGCGCAAUGGGCGAAAGCCUGACGCAGCCACGCCGCGUGAGCGAUGAAGGCCUUCGGGUCGUAAAGCUCUGUGGGGAGAGAAGAAUAAAGCCUGUGAAGAGCAGGCCUUGACG